GUCCGUGUGUCUGUCCGUCGGGGGGCAGCAGGAGCCGCAUUGUGCUGCCGCUGAUGCUGAGUGACUGCUCCUUUGUGCGGCCGCGUGGGAACAGCUCCGCCGCAAACACCCCCGAAACCGCGCUUAACCAGGCGGGCACCCCUGGGAAAAACAGCCCCCAGAGCCCUGCCUUUGUCACCAACCCGCUGGGAAAGGUGGCUGUGGUGGCACUGCUGGCAUCCCUGCCCGCUGCCGGGAGAGGAGGCACCGGGAGAACAGGGACUGAAGCUUCUGCUCAUCUGCUUUGCAUGACAAAGUGUCAGAAAGCUGAGAAGAUUUUUCCUUGUGUCCAGACAAUACAGACUGAGGAUACCAUGCUGAUUCAUCAAGAUUCAGCUCCCUGCAUACUGGAUACAAAACUGGAAAGCAGAACUGACAGAAAAACGACACAAUUCCGAAUUUCAGUACUAUGCCACUGA
rnacentral:lncRNA from 1 species